AUUAUAACUUAUAACUUUAUUUCUCCUAAUAACAAAAUGUAAAAAGUUGCAAAAUUUUGUAUAAUAAACACUGGUACAUCAAAAUCAAUGUCCUGAUCUAUUGAAAUAUUUGGAAUGAUAAAUAAAUGCCAACUUAAACUGCCAAAAUAUAGGACAAUUCAACUUAAAUCUACAUUUGACCAGUAAAUACACAAAUGAAUCAAUAUUCAAUUCAUUUUUUUCCCCCGAAGUUUUUAAAGCAAAUUGUUUAACAAUCAGCAAAAACAAAAACUAGUUCUUAACAGUUUCAGUUUGUCCAAAAACGGAGAACAAGUUAUGGUUCACAUCUAGACUUCGGUCUCAGUUUAGUAUUCUUCUCCCUCCUCUUCCCCCUCGCCUUCAACAGAGUCGACACCCACUUCCUCGUAGUCCUUCUCAAGGGCAGCCAAG